rnacentral:rRNA from 1 species
CUGGCGGCAGGCCUAACACAUGCAAGUCGAACGGUAACAGGAAGCAGCUUGCUGCUUCGCUGACGAGUGGCGGACGGGUGAGUAAUGUCUGGGAAACUGCCUGAUGGAGGGGGAUAACUACUGGAAACGGUAGCUAAUACCGCAUAACGUCGCAAGACCAAAGAGGGGGACCUUCGGGCCUCUUGCCAUCGGAUGUGCCCAGAUGGGAUUAGCUAGUAGGUGGGGUAACGGCUCACCUAGGCGACGAUCCCUAGCUGGUCUGAGAGGAUGACCAGCCACACUGGAACUGAGACACGGUCCAGACUCCUACGGGAGGCAGCAGUGGGGAAUAUUGCACAAUGGGCGCAAGCCUGAUGCAGCCAUGCCGCGUGUAUGAAGAAGGCCUUCGGGUUGUAAAGUACUUUCAGCGGGGAGGAAGGCGAUAAGGUUAAUAACCUUGUCGAUUGACGUUACCCGCAGAAGAGCACGGUUAACUCCGUGCCAGCCAGCCGCGGUAAUACGGAGGGUGCAGCGUUAUCGGAAUUACUGGGCGUAAAGCGCACGCAGCGGUCUGUCAGUCCGAUGUGAAAUCCCCGGGCUCACCUGGGAACUGCAUUCAAACUGGCAGGCUAGAUCUUGUAGAGGGGUAGAAUUCCAGUGUAGCGUGAA